rnacentral:rRNA from 1 species
AGCGAACGCUGGCGGCAGGCUUAACACAUGCAAGUCGAGCGGGCACUUUCGGGUGUCAGCGGCGGACGGGUGAGUAACGCGUGGGAACGUGCCCUCUGGUUCGGAAUAACUCAGGGAAACUUGAGCUAAUACCGGAUACGCCCUUUUGGGGAAAGGCUUGCUGCCGGAGGAUCGGCCCGCGUCUGAUUCGCUAGUUGGUGAGGUAACGGCUCACCAAGGCGACGAUCAGUAGCUGGUCUGAGAGGAUGACCAGCCACACUGGGACUGAGACACGGCCCAGACUCCUACGGGAGGCAGCAGUGGGGAAUAUUGGACAAGGGGCGCAAGCCUGAUCCAGCCAUGCCGCGUGAGUGAUCAAGGCCUUAGGGUUGUAAAGCUCUUUUAUCCGGGACGAUAAUGACGGUACCGGAGGAAUAAGCCCCGGCUAACUUCGUG